ACGUAGGGGGCAAGCGUUAUCCGGAAUUAUUGGGCGUAAAGAGCGCGUAGGUGGUUUUUUAAGCGUGAGGUGAAAGGCAAUAGCUUAACUAUUGUAAGCCUUGCGAACUGGAAGACUUGAGUGCAGGAGAGGAAAGUGGAAUUCCUAGUGUAGCGGUGAAAUGCGUAGAUAUGAGGAGGAACACCAAUGGCGAAGGCGCCUUUCUGGACUGUAUCUGACAUGGAGGCACGAAAGCGUGGCCAGCAAACAG
rnacentral:rRNA from 1 species